UCAUUAAACAAGGAAGAUCUAGUCUUCCUUCAAAUCCAUCCUCCCAUAUAUGUUCUUCAAUUGCACAAUAGAAGAGACCCAAAAUCCUCUAUUGAAUUUUGUCCUCCUCGCUCUUUCUUGCUCCCCCAACAUGUCAUCACUUCCUGAGUUCCUGAUAACCUUUUCUCCGUGUGUGUGUGUGUGUGCAAGGGGUAAGCAGGGAGGUUUUGGGCAGGCAAAGGUGGGAUGGGCAGAUAGCGGGAAUUGAACCUGCAUCUUCUCCUUGGCAAAGAGAAAUUUUACCAUUCGACCAUACUGUAGUAUUGUUCUUGUGGAACUUGAGGAAUCAUAGACACAUGCUGCUCUGGCUGUUGGAUCAUCUGACUCACAAGAAUAUUCUCAGAAUGUGAAUCUGCAUUGACAGUCUUAAGUCAUGACCUUGGAAUUCUCUCGGCUUCCAACUAAACCGAGAGCAUGGUGGAUGGGUGAAGUUAUGAUGACACUGCUGUUGUUUGACGAGGGCUGCAAUCUAUUCAAUUUAUUCCUCUUGAUCUGUGACUGGAGAGCACAUGCUGGGAAGAUUUAGUUUCUUCCUCUUGCAUGAAAUCGAUUUACAAUAUAACAUUAAUUCAAGUAUGCGUAGCCCAUUUCAGUUUUUUUUUUUUGGGUGAUCUCAAUCCAAUACCUUAUAUUGUGUAUCAGACUGACUACUCUGAGGCUAUCCUUGUUAAAAAUGUAAUUAAAACAUUUAUCCCCAUUUAUUACUGAAA